AGCAAAAUCACCAGUGUUAAAUUUUCAGGGAUGGUGUUAAAUACACAGUGUUGAUGCUGUUUUAACACUAUCUGGUAAUAAAAUAACACUGCCAUUGUUAGGCCAGUGUUAUAUCCACGACAGUGUCAGUGUAAAACAAGGGUGUUAUCAGAUUUCACUCUGAGCGGUGUAAAUCAAGCCACGCCUCCACUAAACAUUUCCUGUCAGUGUCAGGGAUUUUACCGCCAUUUUCUUUCAAAGGAGGACUGAAGAGAGCAGGUAAAUCUCAUAAUAUUCACAUGGUUUAGCUAAAUUAAACUGUUAUUUCUCUGUCUGACUCUACGCAGCCAUUUGCCAAAAAACCUAAAUAAGAUAUUUUUCCCAUUUUAUUUCCCCUUUGUUCGUUAUUUGGUUCAGUUUAAUCAGAGCUACCUUGUGUUACGUUGUUCCCUUGUUAGUUUGGUAUAAAGUUAAACUUCUAGCUUAAAGUUUUAACCAAGAAGGAUAAUAUUAACAGGAGAUAUGAAUGAAUGUAAGAAUUGAACCCUGAUAAAACGCGACAUGCACUACGUUGUACAAAAUGAAAGCUCGUUUAUUCACCAUAUGAUGCUCGUUAUGAGGUAAUCAUAUAGGCUAGAUACCGUGAGUUAACGAGGUCGUUUACAUGCACGUGAGUGCACGGAUAUCGGUUAAUUAUUCAGAUUACUGAAAAACACGGAGAAAACCACAACCGCAUCGUCAUGUGUUUUAAAAAAAAAAAAUGUUUUGAUGUAUGCAAACAGGGAAAAUAUCGCCAAACCAACAAUUAAUUUUACCUCAGAAUAUGCACAGAUUGGAUGCAUUGUGUGUUGUAAGCUUUUCGUGGCGCUAGAUGUCAGACAGAUGCAAAUAGCAAAUACAUACGAAAGUGUAAAACGUGUAUGGCGAACAUUUGUUUUUCUGUCAUUAUAAAUGCUAGUUUGGUGAAAGUACACUGAGUGCUUAAAAUCAUUCAGAAGAGAUGCUGUUUUUAGGGCAGUUUAUUAAAGAAGACCUGACAUGGAUGACUUCCAAUGAGAAACGACUGCUAAUACUUAUAUAAAUUCAUUACAGAAGGACCCUACCAGACUAUUUGAAUACGGCAUACCCAUGAAUUCUGAACUGUUAUUCCUUAACCCAGUUUGGAGGAUAAGAGCUUACCAACUAGUUAUGUGAGUACACAGAGUACAUUAGUACUGUACACUGUCUCUAACAUGAUUUGUUAUACUGAGAUGAUUUUGAUUCAAAUAACGGUUAAAACUGCACCCUUUUUGGUAUUUUCUUGACUCUUUUUGUCUUUGAAAAUCUGCAGAAAUAUGCUGAGGCGAUGUAUUGCAAAAUAGCCAACAUACAACAAUUAAAGGAUAAUUGCAGCCUAUAUCCUGAUGAAGAUAUGGAUGACCCUCUGUCUGGUCAACAGGAGUUUAAAUAUGGACGGGACAGUUAUGUGGCAGCUCUUCCCUGGCUCAUUCACCUCUUGCCUUCAUUUGUGAAAGGAAGAAAGACUGGAGAGGGUCAAUGUGCAACUGAAGCUACUGAUUGUGCUGUGUGAUGAGCAUCAAUCCAUGCUUUGAGGUGGAUGAAUCAGCACAGCCCUGCUCUGCGUUGGGAACAAAAGUUGCAUCCAGAAUUUUUGCAUCAUUCUGGACCAAAAAGCCAUUCCCUCCAUGAUGAAGACCACUGAUGCAGCCUUACACUACUGUACAGUAAAACAACUACAGAACUAAAUACCAGGUUGGAACGUGUUUAAGAAAAAUGAAACGUCUUUUGAAUUGAAAUGUCUGUUUUGUUAUGGAAAAAUCUUUAGUAUUGUGAAGGAUAAGCAUUUCUGCUUGCCGAUAAGGUAAUUGCAUGUAUUUUAAUGUUCAAGUUUUGAGUAGGGUGGCUAAUUUUUUUAACUCUUAUUUGAUUUAUUAAAGACCUUUAUAAUAAGUGAUUUUCAUGUCACUGCGCUGUGGUAUAAGAUAACUUUCAUUAUUCCAUACUGUAUUCUGUUUCUAAUUGUAGCUGAGGUAUUUAAAUAAGCAGUGUUAAAUGCAAAGUGUUGUGUGUAUCAAUGUAAAUAUUAAAUGUGAUUUACUCUAAUAAAAAGAGGUUUUGCAGUAUUUCU